rnacentral:rRNA from 1 species
ACAUCCAGAGAACUUAGCAGAGAUGCUUUGGUGCCUUCGGGAACUCUGAGACAGGUGCUGCAUGGCUGUCGUCAGCUCGUGUUGUGAAAUGUUGGGUUAAGUCCCGNAACGAGCGCAACCCUUAUCCUUUGUUGCCAGCGGUCCGGCCGGGAACUCAAAGGAGACUGCCAGUGAUAAACCGGAGGAAGGUGGGGAUGACGUCAAGUCAUCAUGGCCCUUACGAGUAGGGCUACACACGUGCUACAAUGGCGCAUACAAAGAGAAGCGACCUCGCGAGAGCAAGCGGACCUCAUAAAGUGCGUCGUAGUCCGGAUUGGAGUCUGCAACUCGACUCCAUGAAGUCGGAAUCGCUAGUAAUCGUAGAUCAGAAUGCUACGGUGAAUACGUUCCCGGGCCUUGUACACACCGCCCGUCACACCAUGGGAGUGGGUUGCAAAAGAAGUAGGUAGCUUAACCUUCGGGAGGGCGCUUACCACUUUGUGAUUCAUGACUGGGGUGAAGUCGUAACAAGGUAGGCGUACGUGU